rnacentral:miRNA from 1 species
CCACCUCCCCUGCAAACAAUCC